rnacentral:rRNA from 1 species
UACGUAGGGUGCAAGCGUUAAUCGGAAUUACUGGGCGUAAAGCGUGCGCAGGCGGCUAUGCAAGACAGAUGUGAAAUCCCCGGGCUCAACCUGGGAAUUGCGAUGGAGACUGCAAGGCUAGAAUCUGGCAGAGGGGGGUAGAAUUCCACGUGUAGCAGUGAAAUGCGUAGAGAUGUGGAGGAACACCGAUGGCGAAGGCAGCCCCCUGGGUCAAGAUUGACGC